UACGAAGGGGGCUAGCGUUGCUCGGAAUUACUGGGCGUAAAGGGCGCGUAGGCGGACAGUUUAGUCAGAGGUGAAAGCCCAGGGCUCAACCUUGGAAUUGCCUUUGAUACUGGCUGUCUUGAGUUCGGGAGAGGUGAGUGGAAUGACGAGUGUAGAGGUGAAAUUCGUAGAUAUUCGGCGGAACACCAGUGGCGAAGGCGACUCACUGGCCCGAUACUGACGCUGAGGCGCGAAAGCGUGGGGAGCAAACAGG
rnacentral:rRNA from 1 species